rnacentral:rRNA from 1 species
GAUGAACGCUGGCGGCGUGCCUAAUACAUGCAAGUCGAGCGAACAGACGAGGAGCUUGCUCCUCUGACGUUAGCGGCGGACGGGUGAGUAACACGUGGAUACCCUACCUAUAAGACUGGGAUAACUUCGGGAAACCGGAGCUAAUACCGGAUAAUAUAUUGAACCGCAUGGUUCAAUAGUGAAAGACGGUUUUGCUGUCACUUAUAGAUGGAUCCGCGCCGCAUUAGCUAGUUGGUACGGUAACGGCUUACCAAGGCAACGAUGCGUAGCCGACCUGAGAGGGUGAUCGGCCACACUGGAACUGAGACACGGUCCAGACUCCUACGGGAGGCAGCAGUAGGGAAUCUUCCGCAAUGGGCGAAAGCCUGACGGAGCAACGCCGCGUGAGUGAUGAAGGUCUUCGGAUCGUAAAACUCUGUUAUUAGGGAAGAACAAAUGUGUAAGUAACUAUGCACGUCUUGACGGUACCUAAUCAGAAAGCCACGGCUAACUACGUG